UCCAGCUUGACGCUGGCAGUCUCGCUAGAGUGCCCAACUUAAUGCUGGCAACUAGCAACGAGGGUUGCGCUCGUUGCGGAACUUAAUCCAACACCUCACGGCACGAGCUGACGACAACCAUGCACCACCUGUCACCGAUGCCCGAAGGGGUCCCAUAUUUCUAUGGGAUUACACCGGGAUGUCAAACCCUGGUAAGGUUUUUCGCGUAGCAUCGAAUUAAACCACAUGCUCCACUGCUUGUGCGGGCCCCCGUCAAUUCCUUUGAGUUUUAACCUUGCGGCCGUACUCCCCAGGCGGAUCACUUAAUGCGUUAGCGGCGGCGCCGAAGGGGUCGAAGCCUCCGACACCUAGUGAUCAACGUUUAUGGCCAGGACUA
rnacentral:misc_RNA from 1 species